rnacentral:misc_RNA from 1 species
AAAAUGCGAAACGUAAUGCGAUUUGCAUGAAUCUGUGAGUCAUCUAGUUUUUGAACGCAACUUGCACUCUGUUUCGGCAGAGUAUGUCUGUCUGAGAGCCGCAAAUGAUAAUGCCACAUGGUUGGAGGGUGGCGAGUUGGGGGUAUGCGGUGUGGGUGACACGGUCGCAUUCCUCAGAAAGGGGCAGCAGGCGAUUCACGUGCUAGAACAGGCUUUGGUGGCAGACUUUUGGUUUGUCGACGGUGGUUUGUUGGUCGUGGGUGGUGCUUGGGGUGGUGGGGUGUGGGAGUUUGGAUCAGCAUUCCACCGCCAUGUUUUUUAUGAUGGUCUCAGAUCAGGCAAGACUACCCGCUGAACUUAA